rnacentral:lncRNA from 1 species
GGACAAGUAAUUAAUAAUUACAAUUAUUCAGGACAAGUAAUUAAUUAUAAUUAAUUUGCAUCAAAUUGUGCCUUAAAGUUUCCACUAGCUGGUAUCUUUCGGCAAAACAAAACGUUUCAAUGCAGCCAAGUUAAUGAUGUGCCUAAGCAAACCAGACUAAUAAUAUGUUUCCUACAAGUUGGCCUCUGUACUAUAUGAGGUGAUACUACUGUAUUCACUCAGAAAUCACUCUUCAGUUACAUGUAUUCAACAGGUAGAGCACACACAGUAAUUAACAGAUCAUAUAUAAAUCAAUAUAUCAUCUCUAAAUUUAUAUAUCAACAUAUCUUUUAAUCAAUAUAUUAGUAAGUAAAAUUGUUUUUAAAAAAAAUCACAGUCAAAUCCGCACCGUAAAACGCACAUCCGGGGUUCAUUUUUGUUUACGCCAGCACAUUCGUGAAGAUAAUUUCAACUUUGAAUGCUGCGAAUUUUACUUUUGGAGACAUAUUUUCAAAGAACUAUACAAGUGAAGGACUUCAGGAUUAUAAUAUACCCCAGAAAAUGCAAAAAUAAGUCGACAAUUCGUUUCUCUGUCUCUUUCAAUUCACCGGAAGCAUUUUGAUGUUGACUGGUACUUUUCCAUCAAUUAUUUUAACAAGCACCGUGAUUGAUGCUGACAAAGAGAUGCUAUUCAUUACUAAGAAGCUGCUGAUGAAACUGAAUGACGAUGUUGUAAACCAGUCAAUCGUGACCUUCACCUCGGAAAAGAAAGAAUAAUUUCGACAUUAUUCAUUGAAUAAGUUAUAUUUUGACAAAUUUAUAGCAUUUGAAACUGUUAAACAUGCGUAUGUGGUUUAAUACAGAUAUGCUAAUGCAGUUUAUUUUAUAAACGCAUCAUGACAAACAUAUUUUUUUAUCAUAAAAUGAAAAUUUACAGUUUUUUGUUCCGUCUCCAUCGUUGAAAUCUUUGCGGAAAUGAUUUGCAUUAGAAAAUAAUGGUUAAGAAGUGACCGAUAUAUUGAUUAAAAGAUGUGUUGAUAUAUGGAUUUACAGACUAAUGCUCCAACGUCUGAAACUGGUCCCCACUCAAGAGAUCAGAGCAGCCCGUUAUCACAGAAGAAACUGAAACUGUCAACUGACAAUAGGGACUCGCCUAGGCGCAAGACAAAUGCUUCAGUGUCUCAAACUGGUCCCCUUUCAAAUUUUAAUACUGGCACGGUCGUAAGGAACAAUCAGCUGUGCCUUUAACACUAGAAAGCAGUACAACAAACAAAGAGGUCAAUUACUGAACUCAUGGAACUAUGAUAUCUGCAAGAUCACGCUAGGACUUGCAAACAGAAAAAGGAACUUAAGUGUAGAUUUCAUUUUCCCAAGCCUCCAUCUACAUAUCCAAUCAUUGCAAGAUUAGUUCAUCCUGCAGAGAAAAAGAGACUUGAACAUUGAGCAAUCAUAUAAAAGCUAUGCUGCAAACUGGAACAGACGUUUCAUACACUGAGCUUCUUAAACAAGCACAUAUUUCUGAAAAUGACGACCAAUCUGCUCUCCAUGUAACAAUAAAAACAAGAGUUCUCUGGAAAAGAAGUCGGCAAAUGAAAAUCCAUAACUCUGUGAUUCUGAAAGCUCUUUGUGCUAUCAUGGACAAUCAGUACAUUACAGAUGUUGGGCAUGUGUUGCCUACAUAACAUCGUUUAUGUGUAAAUCAGAGAGAAACAUGUCAGACAUAAUGAGAAAUGCCUGCAAAGAAGCCACUUCUGUGAAGCUGAAAUCAAUAAGCUAUAUUUUUUCAAGAGAAGUUUCGCAACAUGAAGCAAUAGCAAGAAUACUUGGAUUUCCUCUCAGAGAUAGUAAUACACCUGUAGUGUUUAUACCAACAGGAUACAAGCAAUAUCAAACAAGAAUGUAAAGGCCAACCUUUUACAGAAUAUGGAUGAAAGUCACACUGAUGUCAUUGUACCAAACAUUCUUGAUAAAUAUGCAGCAAGACUUUGAAAACAUUAUGUUUAGCUGACUUUGUUUCAAAUUACAGUUCAGUGUCCAGUUCUAAGUCCAGCCACAAUAGUGAUGAUAAUGAUAAAGCUCAAGCAGGUCAACCCCACAAGUCAUUCAGACCCAGACAAGUACUAUCACCGUCUGCAUCUACUGUUUUUACCUUGGAGGCAAGAGACAGAACUUACUGAUUAAGGAAUCUAUAAGGAGAAAUAUGAACUUUUAGCUCGACUAUUCAAAGAAUAGGUAGAGCUGUUGGACUCAACCAUGCGUCGGCGUCGGCGUCCCGAUUUGGUUAAGUUUUUGUAUGUAAGCUGGUAUCUCAGUAACCACUCGUGGGAAUGG